rnacentral:rRNA from 1 species
AUUGAACGCUGGCGGCAUGCUUUACACAUGCAAGUCGAACGGUAACAGGCCUUCGGGCGCUGACGAGUGGCGAACGGGUGAGUAAUGCAUCGGAACGUGCCCAGUCGUGGGGGAUAACUAUCCGAAAGGAUAGCUAAUACCGCAUACGAUCUGCGGAUGAAAGCGGGGGACCUUCGGGCCUCGCGCGAUUGGAGCGGCCGAUGUCAGAUUAGGUAGUUGGUGGGGUAAAGGCUCACCAAGCCAACGAUCUGUAGCUGGUCUGAGAGGACGACCAGCCACACUGGGACUGAGACACGGCCCAGACUCCUACGGGAGGCAGCAGUGGGGAAUUUUGGACAGUGGGCGCAAGCCUGAUCCAGCAAUGCCGCGUGCAGGAAGAAGGCCUUCGGGUUGUAAACUGCUUUUGUACGGAACGAAACGGCUCUGGUUAAUACCCGGGGCUAAUGACGGUACCGUAAGAAUAAGCACCGGCUAACUACGUGCCAGCCGCCGCAGUAAGAC